AUUGAACGCUGGCGGCAGGCCUAACACAUGCAAGUCGAGCGGAUGAAGGGAGCUUGCUCCUGGAUUCAGCGGCGGACGGGUGAGUAAUGCCUAGGAAUCUGCCUGGUAGUGGGGGAUAACGUCCGGAAACGGGCGCUAAUACCGCAUACGUCCUGAGGGAGAAGGUGGGGGAUCUUCGGACCUCACGCUAUCAGAUGAGCCUAGGUCGGAUUAGCUAGUUGGUGGGGUAAAGGCCUACCAAGGCGACGAUCCGUAACUGGUCUGAGAGGAUGAUCAGUCACACUGGAACUGAGACACGGUCCAGACUCCUACGGGAGGCAGCAGUGGGGAAUAUUAGACAAUGGGCGAAAGCCUGAUCCAGCCAGGCCGCGUGUGUGAAGAAGGUCUUCGGAUUGUAAAGCACUUUAAGUUGGGAGGAAGGGCAGUAAGUUAAUACCUUGCUGUUUUGACGUUACCAACAGAAUAAGCACCGGCUAACUUCGUG
rnacentral:rRNA from 1 species